rnacentral:rRNA from 1 species
CUACGGGAUGCUCCAGUAAGGAAUAUUGCGCAAUGGAGGCAACCCUGACGCAGCCAUGCCGCGUGCAGGAAGAAGGCCUUAUGGGUCGUAAACUGCUUUUAUUUAGGAAUAGACCCCCGAACGUGUUCGGGGCUGAAGGUACUAAACGAAUAAGCACCGGCUAACUCCGUGCCAGUAGCCGCGGUAAUACGGAGGGUGCAAGCGUUAUCCGGAUUUAUUGGGUUUAAAGGGUGCGCAGGCGGGCUAUUAAGUCAGUGGUGAAAUCCCGGGGCUCAACUCCGGAACUGCCAUUGAUACUGAUAGUCUUGAGUUUGGUUGAAGUGGGCGGAAUGUAGCAUGUAGCGGUGAAAUGCAUAGAUAUGCUACAGAACACCAAUCGCGAAGGCAGCUCACUAAGCCAAAACUGACGCUCAUGCACGAAAGCGUGGGGAUCAAACAGGAUUAGAUACCCGGGUAGUC